rnacentral:rRNA from 1 species
UAGGGAAUCUUCCGCAAUGGGCGAAAGCUUGACGGAGCAACGCCGCGUGAGUGAUGAAGGUCUUCGGAUCGUAAAACUCUGUUAUUAGGGAAGAACAAAUGUGUAAGUAACUAUGCACGUCUUGACGGUACCUAAUCAGAAAGCCACGGCUAACUACGUGCCAGCAGCCGCGGUAAUACGUAGGUGGCAAGCGUUAUCCGGAAUUAUUGGGCGUAAAGCGCGCGUAGGCGGUUUUUUAAGUCUGAUAUGAAAGCCCACGGCUCAACCGUGGAGGGUCAUUGGAAACUGGAAAACUUGAGUGCAGAAGAGGAAAGUGGAAUUCCAUGUGUAGCGGUGAAAUGCGCAGAGAUAUGGAGGAACACCAGUGGCGAAGGCGACUUUCUGGUCUGUAACUGACGCUGAUGUGCGAAAGCGUGGGGAUCAAACAGG